CAAAGCAAUUAGGCUCCAAAUCAUAAUGUUUCAUUACAAUGGGAGUCUUAGACAGCACAAGAGGAUUCUGAAGCUCCGAGUUCCUCCUACUCUUUUGUUACCCCAUUUAUCACCCAGGGAACGGAUUCUGCUCACUCCCACACACUGUCUCACCCUCUUGUAUUGGAAGGUGCUGACCGUGACUCAGCCUGCACCUCGUCUUGCUUUCAAGCCUCCCUACACAAUGCGCUCUUGCCAGCACUUCAGGAUUCAGCUUAGCGGCGUGAUUCAGGCUGUUUCCAUUUUCCGAAUCAUCUUUCCCCACCCGAGGACCAUCGUCUGCCCUCACUUUGGCGGCAGCUGGAUCUGGUAGCUUAUUUUCAGUCCCUGUGUGCUGAGAACUGCUUGGACAUCCCACAGUGACCUUUCUGGUUAUAGAGAGCAGGACAGGUAAACAAUGGAGCUGAAACACACAGCAUGGUGAUUCUGGAUGAACAUACAAUGGUGAGGUGAACUCGUAGCUGUAACCAGACUGCAUGUACUCAUUAGACCAAGUCACUGGCAAUAGUGAUGGAGAAAAUCAGAUUGGGAGAGAUAAGGUCCUUCAAGAAGGUGAACUCCCAGAGAAAAAGGGUCUUAGUGAAGACUGUUGACAUCUUCAAAACCUGCAUAAUGAGCUCAGUGCAUUUGUUACUGGACACUGACCCAGACUCACCAGCUGUUAGAGACUCUGGGUCUUUUAGGACUGACUCUUAAAAUCCCUUGAUGCCUCAUUGGGUUUGAGAAGAUAAUAAAUAUAACCAGACGAGCUAACUGAAUUCAGACCUCUUAGAAAACAAGUGUAUGAAAACCCACCCAGAACCUGAAAACAAACAAACAAACAAACAAACAAACAAACAAACAAACAAACCACUUUGCCAUUAUGAAUCAUAAUCCCCAAAGGACAUGUUUGUAUUGAUUUUCUAGAUGCUGUGAUAAGGCACCACAAACCACACAGGUUAAAUCUCUACAUGUGUGCUCCCUCAGUUUCAGAGGCUGACAGUCCAACAUAAGGUGUGAACAGCACUCUUACUCUAAAGUUAAGAGAUACCUGUUCUUUGUCUAGAUACUAGGAACUCUAGAUAGUCCUCAACUCAUGAUUUACAGUAUUCUUCUCUACCCAUGGCCUCUCUCUCUCUCUCUACACACACACACACACACACACACACACACACACACACACCUAUGUCUUCUUGUCUGUCUCUCACAAAGGCAUCUGUCAUUGGGUGCAUAUCCUACCUGGGAAAUCCAGGUUGAGCUCUUCUGGACAUUUGUCCCUUAAUUAAAUCUACAAAAUCUAUAUUCAAAAUUACAUGGCAUUCUGAGGUUCUAGAUGGAUUUAGCUCCCUGCCAGCAUUCAGCCAUUCAAAUCCUCAUACUAGCCCAUAAGGUAAGUAAGCCCAAAUAUUUUUAUAUAAAAGAUGUAGGGGGUAGAAGCUUGGAUUUUUUUCAGAAUGUAUUAAGUAGUUGUCUAAAAUAAUGAAGACCUUGACUCUAAACUUAUGUCUCCAAAUAACCUAAUCAGCUACUAAAUAAUAACCCACAUGUUUGGGGGGACUCUAGUCCAUGCUGUCAUUAAUGUUUAAAAUAAGAUAGAAGGUAUAGUUGAGACUAACUCAGUUUGUAAAUUCACCAGGUUGUAUGACCCAGUCUGCCCAGUGGUCUGGAAUGCCAUAUUGGGAGAAUUAUGUAUG